GACGAACGCUGGCGGCGUGCUUAACACAUGCAAGUCGAACGGAAAGGCCCCUUUGGGGGUACUCGAGUGGCGAACGGGUGAGUAACACGUGAGUAACCUGCCCUUGACUUCGGGAUAACUUCAGGAAACUGGGGCUAAUACCGGAUAGGAAUCCUUGCUGCAUGGUGGGGGUUGGAAAGCUUCGGCGGUUUUGGAUGGACUCGCGGCUUAUCAGCUUGUUGGUGGGGUAGUGGCUUACCAAGGCUGUGACGGGUAGCCGGCCUGUGAGGGCGACCGGCCACAUUGGGACUGAGAUACGGCCCAGACUCCUACGGGAGGCAGCAGUGGGGAAUAUUGCACAAUGGGCGGCAGCCUGAUGCAGCAACGCCGCGUGCGGGAUGACGGCCUUCGGGUUGUAAACCGCUUUCAGCAGGGGCGAAGCUUGUGGUGACGGUACCUGCAGAAGAAGCACCGGCUAACUACGUG
rnacentral:rRNA from 1 species